rnacentral:rRNA from 1 species
GACGUAGGGCGCGAGCGUUGUCCGGAAUUAUUGGGCGUAAAGAGCUCGUAGGCGGUUUGUCGCGUCUGCUGUGAAAACCUAAGGCUCAACCUUGGGCUUGCAGUGGGUACGGGCAGACUAGAGUGCGGUAGGGGUGACUGGAAUUCCUGGUGUAGCGGUGGAAUGCGCAGAUAUCAGGAGGAACACCGGUGGCGAAGGCGGGUCUCUGGGCCGAUACUGACGCUGAGGAGCGAAAGCGUGGGGAGCGAACAGG